GCUCAUGUGAACUCUCCUUCUCUUCAGAUACUCCAACCUGAUCCUGAAUCUGUUCUCUCUCAUGGUGGAUGCCAAUAUUCCUGACAUUGCUCUUGAGCCUGACAAGACUGUAAAAAAGGUGCAGGACAAGUUCAGAUUGGACCUGUCGGACGAGGAGGCGGUCCACUACAUGCAGAGUCUCAUCGAUGAGAGUGUGGGAGCUUUGUUUGCUGCUGUGGUUGAGCAGAUACACAAAUUUGCACAGUACUGGCGCAGAUGAGCAGAACAGACAGACGGCUUAGAUGAUGCUGAAGUUCUGCGGCAGAAACGCGUGAUGGUACGGCUCUGACCCGACCGAUGCUGUCUAUGUGUGAGUGUGUGAGAAGAUGAAAGAAAGAAACCCAGUGACACUGUUAAAAAGGCCAAGAAUGCACUGCCAACCUUUACUGCAAGACAGUUCAACAAGGACAUGCACAUCUUUGUUUGCUUAUGUAUAUAACAUGUAUAUUAAUUAUUGAAUGAAUGAAUGAAAUGUAAGGCCAAAUAAAAGACUGUUGUUACAACUAAA